rnacentral:rRNA from 1 species
AGAGUUUGAUCAUGGCUCAGAACGAACGCUGGCGGCGCGUUUUAAGCAUGCAAGUCGAACGGUAGUCCGGUGCUUGCACCGGAUGAGAGUGGCGCACGGGUGAGUAACACGUAGGUGAUCUACCUCUGGAUUGGGGAUAGCCUGUGGAAACACAGGUUAAUACCGAAUACGACCCUGAGACUGUCGUCUUAGGGGGAAAGGCCCUCAGGGGUCGUCCGGAGAUGAGCCUGCGGUCCAUUAGCUGGUUGGUGUGGUAAUGGCGCACCAAGGCGACGAUGGAUAGCCGGCCUGAGAGGGUGAACGGCCACACUGGGACUGAGACACGGCCCAGACUCCUACGGGAGGCAGCAGCUAAGAAUCUUCCGCAAUGGGCGAAAGCCUGACGGAGCGACGCCGCGUGAACGAAGAAGGCCGUGAGGUUGUAAAGUUCUUUUCCUGGGGAGGAAUAAGGCCUGGAGGGAAUGCCGGGCUGAUGACGUGAACCAGGGAAUAAGCCCCGGCUAAUUCCGUGCCAGCAGCCGCGGUAACACGGAAGGGGCAAGCGUUGUUCGGAUUUAUUGGGCGUAAAGGGCGUGUAGGCGGCAGUGCAAGUCUGGUGUGAAAUACCCCGGCUCAACCGGGGAGACGCGCCGGAUACUGUGCUGCUUGAGUUUAGGAGGGGGAGCUGGAAUUCCUGGUGUAGGGGUGAAAUCUGUAGAUAUCAGGAAGAACACCGGAGGCGAAGGCGAGCUCCUGGCCAUAGACUGACGCUGAGGCGCGAAAGCGUGGGGAGCAAACAGGAUUAGAUACCCUAGUAGUCC